AGGGCGUCGCCAGCGUUUAAGAUAGGCCAAUGUAAACAUUGGAAGUAGGCCUGGCACGGCAACUCGCACAUUUGAAAGGUGUUGACAACUUGCUUUUUUGAGUAUAAUAGAGUUUUGUUCAAAAGUGAAAUUAAUACAAGACCGAUUUUAAUAAUAUGAAGUGAUCUUUAAGCCUUGAAUACACCACCACCCACCUUAUAGCAGAAUAUGAAAAAAGUUGAGUGAUCUUCAAGCCACAAAUAAACCACCACCACCUACCCUGCAAAAGGAAAACACUUGCUGAGCAGAUUUAUUGUGGGUUAUCAAGACUAGAAUUCAGUAGGAGCUUGUUAGCGUAAAGCAGAUGAAUGAUGGGUAGACCGAUUUGUUGGAGGCUUGCUAAGUACAAAUGAAGCAGAUGAACUGUGGCAAACAGGCUGUUAUACAGAAGGUUGAGCAAUGAAUUGUGGGAAAUCCAGACUGAUUUGUUUGAAUUUGUAUACAGUACUGACAGCAGCUGUACGGUGCUUGAAGCUAGCGAAGUCAGAUUUUGAGAUAAUGCAAGUGAACUGUGGAAAGUCAAAUUUUGAUAUAGAAUUGUGUGGAAUAGACACAGAUUUAUUUGAAUCCUGCUACAUACGCUGUUGUUACCUGAAGCUUUGCAAACUGUGAUGUAUGGAAAUGAAGCAGAUUGAUUAUGGGACACCUACUGUACACUGCAAAGACGUUUAUUGUACAUUCUUAAAAUUGGUGGUUAUGGAAAGAAGUCAGGUUUGUGAUAUACAAUAUUAAGUAACUUUAGUGUUAGUCCAAUUCUGGACUUAGUAAAACAUUAGUCUGAUUAAAAUUCUGGCCCAAUUCUGGAAUUACUAUAAAAUGCUAAGGAUUCUGGACAUAAUUAAAAUUUGGUCUGAUUUUGAACUUAUAAAAGAGAUUUUGCUCAUGUAAAUCUAACAAUUAAAUCAAGUUUGCAAUGUGGUGAUUAAUAAAACAGCAAUGAGAAUGAGUAAAUUGAUGGUCCUAUUCUGGUAGUUAAAAUUCUGGGCUUAGUGUAAAUUGUUGGUCCUAUUUUGGACUUGGUUAAAAAUAGUGUAAAUUGUUGGUCCUUUUCAGGACAUAGUGUAAAUUGUUGGUCCUAUUCUGGACUUAGUUAAAAUUCUGCAAUUAAUGUAAAUCGUUGAGUCCUAUUCUGGACUUAGCUAAAAUUCUGGAAUUAAUAGUAUAAAUUAUUUGUCCUAUCUUGUACUAGAGUGUAAAUUGUUGGUCCUAUUCUGGACUUAGUUAAAAUAGUGUAAAUUGUUGGUCCUAUUCUGGACUUGAGUGAAAUUCUGGAUUUCUUAGACUUAGUGUAAAUUAUUGGUCAAAUUCUGGACUUAAUUAAAUAAUUGUUCAAUAGUUGAGUCCUAUUCUGGACUUAGUGUAAAUGGUUGAGUCCUAUUCUGGACUUAGUUAAAAUUCUGGAAUUAAUAGUAUAAAUU